AGAGUGUCCUGAGUGUGUACUGUGCGGGCGUGGUGCUGCGUGCAGACAUUCUCAUCUAUUCAUUCAGCCAGAGUGUCCUGAGUGUGUACUGUGCGGGCGUGGUCCUGGACGCUGGGUGCAGACGUCCUCGGGGGA
ensembl:miRNA eca-mir-8971 eca-mir-8971